GGUAAAAUGGCCGAUAAUAGGUGAUAAAUUGUAAAUUUAUUUAUAAAGAAAACUUUUUUUACCA
rnacentral:tRNA from 1 species